rnacentral:tRNA from 1 species
GAAGGUGUGGCUCAGUGGUAGAGCACAUGCUUAGCAUGCACGAAGUCCUGGGUUCAAUACCCAAUAACUUCA